rnacentral:rRNA from 1 species
AAAAUGCACAUACUGUGAGCUCGAUGAGUAGGGCGGGACACGUGGUAUCCUGUCUGAAUAUGGGGGGACCAUCCUCCAAGGCUAAAUACUCCUGACUGACCGAUAGUGAACCAGUACCGUGAGGGAAAGGCGAAAAGAACCCCGGCGAGGGGAGUGAAAAAGAACCUGAAACCGUGUACGUACAAGCAGUGGGAGCCUCUUAAUGGGGUGACUGCGUACCUUUUGUAUAAUGGGUCAGCGACUUAUAUUCUGUAGCAAGGUUAACCGAAUAGGGGAGCCGAAGGGAAACCGAGUCUUAACUGGGCGUUAAGUUGCAGGGUAUAGACCCGAAACCCGGUGAUCUAGCCAUGGGCAGGUUGAAGGUUGGGUAACACUAACUGGAGGACCGAACCGACUAAUGUUGAAAAAUUAGCGGAUGACUUGUGGCUGGGGGUGAAAGGCCAAUCAAACCGGGAGAUAGCUGGUUCUCCCCGAAAGCUAUUUAGGUAGCGCCUCGUGAAUUCAUCUCCGGGGGUAGAGCACUGUUUCGGCAAGGGGGUCAUCCCGACUUACCAACCCGAUGCAAACUGCGAAUACCGGAGAAUGUUAUCACGGGAGACACACGGCGGGUGCUAACGUCCGUCGUGAAGAGGGAAACAACCCAGACCGCCAGCUAAGGUCCCAAAGUCAUGGUUAAGUGGGAAACGAUGUGGGAAGGCCCAGACAGCCAGGAUGUUGGCUUAGAAGCAGCCAUCAUUUAAAGAAAGCGUAAUAGCUCACUGGUCGAGUCGGCCUGCGCGGAAGAUGUAACGGGGCUAAACCAUGCACCGAAGCUGCGGCAGCGACACUAUGUGUUGUUGGGUAGGGGAGCGUUCUGUAAGCCUGUGAAGGUGUACUGUGAGGU